rnacentral:rRNA from 1 species
AUACGGAGGACGCGAGCGUUAUCCGGAUUCAUUGGGUUUAAAGGGUGCGCAGGCGGCCGUGCAAGUCAGCGGUGAAAGCCCGGGGCUCAACCCCGGAAGUGCCGUUGAUACUGCAUGGCUGGAAUGCGGUCGAGGCGGGCGGAACGGGGCGUGUAGCGGUGAAAAGCGUAGAUAUGCCACAGAACGCCGAUAGCGGAGGCAGCUCGCCAGGCCUGCAUUGACGCUCGGGCACGAAAGCGUGGGGAUCGAACAGGAUUAGAUACCCUGGUAGUCCACGCCGUAAACGAUGGGCGCUCGUCGUCGGCGGCAGACAGUCGGCGGCCAAGCGAAAGCGAUAAGCGCCCCACCUGGGGAGUACGGUCGCAAGGCUGAAACUCAAAUGAAUUGGCGGGG